CACACAACGGGGUUUCGGGGCUGUGGACCCUGUGCCAGGAAAGGAAGGGCGCAGCUCCUGCAAUGCGGAGCAGCCAGGGCAGUGGGCACCAGGCUUUAGCCUCCCUUUCUCACCCUACAGAGGGCAGGCCCUUCAGCUCCAUUCUCCUCCAAGGCUGCAGAGGGGGCAGGAAUUGGGGGUGACAGGAGAGCUGUAAGGUCUCCAGUGGGUCAUUCUGGGCCCAGAGAUGGGUGCUGAAGCUCCCACGCCUGCCUGUGAAAAUGGAGUCCUCUCUCACCUGGGAGAGCCAGGUGCUGCCCCGAGAAGGAUGCAUUUAUGGCUUCAUGAAGUCUUUCCUGACCCCCGAUGCUGCUGACUAUAGAGACAAAGUCUCACUAUGUUGCUCAGGCUGGUCUUGAACUCCUGGCCUCAAGCGAUCCUCCCACCUUAGCCUCCCAAAGAGUUGGGAUUAUAGACAUGAGCCACUGCACCUGGCCGACCUUGGGCAAGUUCUUAAACCCUUCAAAGCCUCAUUUUUCUCCAAUCAUAAAAGGGAAAGAUGGUAAUAUUUUCCCCUCCAAAUUCUUGUAAGUAUUAAACAUUGUAUAUGUAUUUUGAACACGAUUAAGCUCUAAACACUUGUUAGGAAGCAGGAGUAGCAUUUGAAACAAACAGCUCUUUUCCCACAGGUCGGAUGCCCUCACAGAAUUGAGAUUAUGUACGUAAAACACCAGGUGCCUAACCCGGCACAGAGCAGGAGGGCUAAGCGUGACAUCCAGCACGUGGUCAGUGGAAUCCAGUAUUCCUACCCACCUCUCUAGUCUCCCCUCCACCCCUCUCCCUUUCAGAGGCACCAAGCUGCUUGUGGUCUUGUCUAUUCCCACUCCCUGCCUGACUGAACAUUUUCUCCACCUCCUGAUCAUCAGCAGCAGAAACUGGCUGCUCUUCCUCCUGGGUAGACAGCCAGACUGUAUUUCCCAGCUGCCCCUGCAGUGAGAUGUGGCCAUCGGAGCCAGCAUUGGCCAAUGGACUCUGCAUGGGAGUGACGCAUGCUGCCUCCAGGCUUGUCCCUAAAACCUCCCACGUGUCCUCCGCCUGCUCUUCCCACUUCCAAGGAGCACGGCAAUUGUGGAAGACCCAGAUUAGUGAUGGCAGAACCAUAGAUGGGAGGAACCUGGGUCCCUGACUUAAAGUAUCAUGGAUUUGGAUGUUCCCUUAGUGAGAAAUAAACUUCCAUUGUGUUUAAGCCUUUA
ensembl:lncRNA FAM138B family with sequence similarity 138 member B